rnacentral:rRNA from 1 species
AUUGAACGCUGGCGGCAUGCCUUACACAUGCAAGUCGAACGGCAGCAUGAUCUAGCUUGCUAGAUUGAUGGCGAGUGGCGAACGGGUGAGUAAUACAUCGGAACGUGCCCUGUAGUGGGGGAUAACUAGUCGAAAGAUUAGCUAAUACCGCAUACGACCUGAGGUUGAAAGUGGGGGACCGCAAGGCCUCAUGCUAUAGGAGCGGCCGAUGUCUGAUUAGCUAGUUGGUGAGGUAAAGGCUCACCAAGGCGACGAUCAGUAGCUGGUCUGAGAGGACGAUCAGCCACACUGGGACUGAGACACGGCCCAGACCCCUACGGGAGGCAGCAGUGGGGAAUUUUGGACAAUGGGCGAAAGCCUGAUCUAGCAAUGCCGCGUGUGUGAAGAAGGCCUUCGGGUUGUAAAGCACUUUUGUCCGGAAAGAAAUGGCUCUGGUUAAUACCUGGGGUCGAUGACGGUACCGGAAGAAUAAGGACCGGCUAACUACGUG